rnacentral:rRNA from 1 species
GCUUAGCCCUAAACACAGGAUAAUUACAUAAACAAAUUAUUUGCCAGAGUACUACCAGGCAACAGCUUAAAACUCAAAAGGACUUGGCGGUGCUUUAUAUCCUUC